CGCGUAAGAACCUGCCCUUAGGAGGGGAGUAACAACUGGAAACGGUUAGCUAAUACCCAAUAUGCUGAGGAGUAAACGGUAACAACCGACCUAAGAAUGGGCGUUGCGUCUGAUUAGCUUGUUGGUGGGGUAAAAGGACUUACCAAGGCGACGAUCAGUAGUUGGUCUGAGAGGAUGAUCAGCCACACUGGGACUGAGACACGGCCCAGACUUCUACGGAAGGCAGCAGUGAGGAAUUUUCCGCAAUGGGCGAAAGCCUGACGGAGCAAUGCCGUGUGGAGGAAGAAGGCCUACGGGUUG
rnacentral:rRNA from 1 species